GACGAACGCUGGCGGCGUGCUUAACACAUGCAAGUCGAACGGUGAAGCGCCUUCCUUUUUGGUGGGUGUGGAUGAGUGGCGAACGGGUGAGUAACACGUGAGUGACCUGCCCCCUUCUUCUGGAUAACCGCAUGAAAGUGUGGCUAAUACGGGAUAUUCUGGGUCUGUCGCAUGAUGGGUCUGGGAAAGAUAUUGUUUCGGUGGGGGAUGGGCUCGCGGCCUAUCAGCUUGUUGGUGGGGUGAUGGCCUACCAAGGCGGUGACGGGUAGCCGGCCUGAGAGGGUGGACGGUCACACUGGGACUGAGACACGGCCCAGACUCCUACGGGAGGCAGCAGUGGGGAAUAUUGCACAAUGGGCGCAAGCCUGAUGCAGCGACGCCGCGGGAGGGAUGGAGGCCUUCGGGUUGUGAACCUCUUUCGCCAGUGAAGCAGGCCUGCCUCGUUUGUGGGUGGGUUGACGGUAGCUGGAUAAGAAGCGCCGGCUAACUACGUG
rnacentral:rRNA from 1 species